rfam:Salmo salar isolate Sally breed double haploid chromosome ssa15, whole genome shotgun sequence.
GCAUUGGUGGUAUAGUGGUGCGCAUAGAUGCCUUCCAAGCAGUUGAGCUGGGUUUGAUUCCCGGCCAAUGCA